UAAAUGGGUCAAAAAGUGGUGGAGAACUGGGUUAGAAAGAGGUGAAGGUGAAGAUCAUUAGAGGUUUUAGGGCUGGCUGUGGCUGUUUUGCUGGGUUUGUGUGACUGUGCCCAGAGGGCGGAGUUCCUGCACAUUCCUACCUCACCGGAGAACCUGCCCUCAACUCCACUGCAGCUACUCCAGAGAGAUGGGACCCUCCAGAAGAAACCUGCCCAGCAAUCCCAGCAAGCCUUCCCGCCAGAAGGAUCCAAGGAGAACCUGCCUCUACCUGCACGAUGGCACUUGGGAAUGGGAGUCUUCCACCGGCACAGGAUCACUGGAGGCAAACAUCGAAUUAAUUGGAUCUCACUGACUGAGAUCUCUCCUCCUGUCUUCCGAGAGGGUUGAACUGUAAAUCUGUCUCAAAUGAUGCACCCCUAAAAUGUAGGUAUCUGGAGGAAGAAGGUGACGUGACAAGAAACGUCUGACAAGCAAAGUGGGGAACUGUCCAGGAGAAGGAUCCGUGAUGAAUGAGGUCUGCGUGGUCAUGAUGCAACAGCAGAACAGGACAGCGUGCUGCCACCAAAUGCCGGUUUUUGUUCGCUAGAACCAAAAAGGAAAAUGGAGAGGGGGAGGCAGUGGGGGUUAGGAGGGAGCGAUCGGAGAAGUUAGUGGCUGUCUGGAAUGUAAACACGACUCCAUCAUCUCCUCUGGAAAUGGGGAGGCUGCGUUUGCCAAACGUACUAGAGCCCAGCGAGAGGCAGGGGCGGCACCGGACCGUUCCAAAAUGCUGCCAUGGAAUCUGGAUCCAAGACGGAUCUAAGGACAGUACUACACAAAGUAAUCAGUCCCGAAAUCUCCCAGUCGCAUGUCCGAGGUUAAGCCAGCCUCUUUGGUAAUUGCCGAAAAAUCGUAGAGAACAAGAUUUGCCCCUGGGUAAAGGAUCGGUUGGGAGGGGGAGGGAGGAGAAGCAAGCAAGACGGGACGAGAUAAGUCAAACCCCACUAAAACUGCAAACAUGAUUUAAUUCCUUGGGUGACUUUGUGCAGAUCUGUCUUUCUCGGCCUUGGCGGAAAUGUUCCCGCGGCGAGCGUGUAACUUCUUGCGUUGUUUUUGACCGUGCACUGUAUUGCCAUAAUGCCAAUAAACGCAUAAACCGCGUCUGACCAGCGGCCAGCAGAUGCUCCAGCCUCUCAGGCCCGAACUACACGAGGUCUAUCCCCUGCCAGGGCUGCGAGGUCCUUCCCUGCUUUAGGGUACUUUUGGUGCUCUGGGAAAACGCGGGUGGACGGGUGGGAAGCUUUUGCCCCGGCCGCUGGGUUCUCUUUCCUCGGAGGGGCCAUUCCGGGCUUGCAGAGACAAGGGCUCUCUUCGUUUCAGCGAGGCCAGGAUUUCAGGACUUUUAAGUGCAACGGCCAGAGACACCCGUGACAGAAUUUGGCCCCACUUAGUAGCUGCCUAUAAGGAGAAGCAGCUCUCCCAGGGACGAAUUCCCUGGUGUGAACCGUGGCCCAUAUCGCUCACCCUUCCAGUAAACGCCAGCAGAUGGAUGCAAUUAAACCUCGGCGAUCCUCCGCGGCCGGACACUGAUACAGAGUGUGAGAGGGUUGGCCAUUGUGCAGUGCCUAUCGUGUAGUACUCACCCCCAGCAGCUGCCACAGGAAGGACUAAAGAAACGUGGAUGCCCCGAGUUUCUCCUUCCUAUAACACGGGGAGCACAGAAAGAC